GGUCUAGCUCUGUGCUUCUGUGUGCCUGGGAAGGUAGUGGCACUGCAGCUGUGUGGAAGAUCUGUGGAGUUUUCAGCUUCCAUUUCAUGAGGAUUCGUUGAUUGCUGAGACUCCCUCCGGCCUUGGGAGCGCUGUCCCUGUGGACACCCUACAAAAGGAGGCUUCCAGUCCAGUUUGUAAGACACUGCUGAUGUGGAUACUGUUAAUAGGCAAUGACUUGCCAGCUGUUUGGUUUUAAGACGAAACUUCUGGAAGCCGAGAUGCUUAUUGCAAUUCAAAUUGCACCUUGGAAGGGGACAAAAAUGUGGUGCUGAGAAAUCACAGCUCCAGUUGCAG